CAGCCGCCGCGGUAAUACCGGCGGCCCGAGUGGCGGUCACUAUUAUUGGGCUUAAAGCGUCCGUAGCCGGGUUGGGAAGUCCUCCGGGAAAUCUGGCCGCUUAACGGUCAGAAUGCCGGAGGAUACUCCCAGCCUAGGGAGCGGGAGAGGCCGAGGGUAUUCCCGGAGUAGGGGGGAAAUCCUAUAAUCCCGGGAGGACCACCUGUGGCGAAGGCGCUCGGCUGGAACGCGUCCGACGGUGAGGGACGAAGGCCAGGGGAGCAAACCGGAUUAGAUACCCGGGUAGUCCUGGCGGUAAACGAUGCGGACUUUGUGUCGGACAAGCUAUGAGCUUGUCCGGUGCCGGAGGGAAACCGUUAAGUCCGCCGCCUGGGGAGUACGGCCGCAAGGCUGAAACUUAAAGGAAUUGGCGGG
rnacentral:rRNA from 1 species